UGGGGAAUUUUGCACAAUGGAGGAAACUCUGAUGCAGCGACGACGCGUGAGUGAUGAAGAUCUUCGGAUUGUAAAACUCUGUCCUUAGUGAAGAUAAUGACAGUAACUAAGAAGCAAGCCCUGGCUAAAUACGUGCCAGCAGCCGCGGUAAUACGUAUGGGGUAAGCGUUGUCCGGAAUUAUUGGGCGUAAAGGGUACGUAGGCGGUUUAAUAAGUCCUAAUUAAAAGGCUAUGGCUCAACCAUAGUAUGGUUAGGAAACUGUUGAACUUGAGUAGAUAAGCGGAAAGUGGAAUUCCAUGUAUAGCGGUUAAAUGCGUAGAUAUAUGGAAGAACACCAAUGGCGAAGGCAACUUUCUGGAAUCAAACUGACGCUGAGGUACGAAGGAGUGGGGAGCAAACAGG
rnacentral:rRNA from 1 species